rnacentral:rRNA from 1 species
AUUGAACGCUGGCGGCAGGCCUAACACAUGCAAGUCGAACGAGUGGCGGACGGGUGAGUAAUGUCUGGGAAACUGCCUGAUGGAGGGGGAUAACUACUGGAAACGGUAGCUAAUACCGCAUACCAUCGGAUGUGCCCCGAUGGGCUUAGCUGGUUGGUGGGGUAAAGGCUCACCAAGGCGACGAUCCCGAGCUGGUAUGAGAGGAUGACCAGCCACACGGGAACGGAGACACGGUCCAGACGCCUACGGGAGGCAGCAGUGGGGAAUAUUGCACAAUGGGCGCAAGCCUGAGGCAGCCAGGCCGCGUGUAUGAAGAAGGCCUUCGGGUUGGAAAGUACUUUCAGCGGGGAGGCGUUACCCGCAGAAGAAGCACCGGCUAACUCCGUGCCAGCAGCCGCGGUAAUUC